UAAACGUAGAAAUCCACAAUCAGUUCUAUUGCAUUCAAUCAACACCAAAAUAGAAAUGUCAGGUACAGUAUAUGUAAAGUUAAAUUAAACAAAAAAAUAUGCAGGAAAACUUAACAUUAUGUUUGAAAUAUAGAGCAAGCAACAGUUCUGUAUGUUAUUUGUGGGUUACAAACUCAGCCAGCUCCAUCAUGAGCAUUGUCCUUCCCUGCAUCAAGGGCACCUUCAAAAGGCAACGUCCAUCAUUAAGGAACCCCAGCACCCAGGACAUGCUCCCUUCUCAUUACUACCAUCAGAGAGGGCAUACAGGGGCCUCGAAACACACACUCAUUGUUUUAAUCAGCCAAUGCUCUGCAACUUUACAACACCAUCUCUUUCAGUUCCAUAAGGAAAUGAAAGAAAUUCAUGAUUUUAUUUACUUCUCUCAAAUUAAUCCAUGCACCAACUGCAUGCUCUGGUGUUAAAUGACUCAAUGGAGGCAUGGAAAUUUAACACCACACUGAUGUUUAAAUGUUCACUGUGAACUCACACAUAAUCUUCCUUCAGGUAAACUUUAGCAAUUAAAUUCGAGCUUUCAUGGAAUCUGUGGUGAUAUUUGUUUCCUAUGAUGUCCAAGUGAUUGCAACUAGUAUAAUGUUCUAAAGGUCAUUCAAAAGAUAGUUGCUCAUUAAUGCAACAAUCUAAUUAGCCAAUCAUGUGGCAGCGACUCAAUGCAGACAUGAUCAUGUCCAGAUCAAAGAUCAGAAUGGGGAAGAAACAUUAUCUAAGUAACUUUAACCAUGGAAUGACUUUUGGUGCCAGGUGGGGUGAUUUGAGUAUCUCAGAAACUGCUGAUCUCCUUGGAUUUUCAGACACAUCAUUCUCUAGAGUUUACACCCACAAAAUGCUGGAGGAAAUCAGCAGGUCAGGCAGCAUCUGAAACUGUCAAUGUUUCAGACCGACUCCCUUCUUCAAGACUGAGAAGGAAAGGUGAAGGAGACUAGGUGGAAGGUGAUAGGUGGUUGGGGAAGGUCAAGGGCUGGAGAAGAAAUAAACUGAUAGGAGAGGAAAGUGGACCAUAGGAGAAAGGGAAGGAGGUAGGGAGCCAGGAGGAAGAGAUAGGCAGCUGAGAAUGGGGUAAAAUGUCAGAGUGAGGAAUAGGGAAGGGGGGGGGAGAAAAGUUUUUUACCAGAUGGAGAAAUCAAUGUUCAUUAUUAUUAUUAUUAUUCGAUAUUCACUCUAGAGUUUACAGAGAAUGGUGUGAACAACAUUUCUCUGGGCGUAAACACUUUGGUAUUGAAAGAGGUCAGAGGUCUCACUUUGAAGUGAAAGGGCCACCGUAGCAGAUGACCACACUCGGUUCCACUCCUGUGCCUAAUAAAGUGGCCACUGGGUGUAUCUUGGAAUGAUACAGGAACUUGCUAGAUAGCUAGGUAGAUAGAUACUUUAUUGAUCCCAAAGGAAAUGAGGGCAUCACAGUAGCAUUACAAGUGCACAGAUAUAAAUAUUAGAAGAGAAGUAGAAAGAAUAAAAAAUAAUUUACCACAAAGAGUCUACAGGAGGAGGUCAUUGCUUCCCUGGCUAUGGAGCCUAAUUGCCGAGGGUAAGAAUGACCUCAUAUAUCGCUCUUUGGAGCGGAACAGUUGUCUUAGUCUAUUACUAAAAAUGCUCCUCUGUUCAGCCAAGGUGGCAUGCAGAGGGUGAGAAGCAUUGUCCAGAAUGGCCAGAAUUUUCUGUAGGAUCCUUUGUUCUACCACUCUGGUUUGACUAUUAUAAUAGAGCCAGCCUUUCCAAUCAGUUUAUGGAGCCUGUUAGCAUCAGCUGGGUUGAUGCUAUUGCUGAACACACCACCACAUAGAAGACUGCACUGGCAACAACAGACUGGUAGAACAUGUGAAGGAGAGUCAUUAACAGGGAUAUCAUUAAAAGGCUGCUGGACUGGUGUGACUUCCUAAAGAUUGGCAAUCAUUUUCAUAAGGAAAAGUUUUCAGCUGGAGAGCUAGACAAUGCUAUAAAAUAAGAGGCAUUUUCUUGUUUAAUAAUUCAGAGUGCAUUGUUGUUGUUGGCAAUGCUACCAUGUAUUAUCCAUCUUACACUGUCUCUGAAACUGAGGAGACAACAGAAAUUUAAAGGCAUAAUACCAUGUCAUUUUAUUAUGUUGUAUCAAUUUCCUCAUACUUUUGCAUGUAGAAUGACUCACUCCCACAUACGGCAGACAUGAAGGUUGCCAACUCAUGAAGAAGUGAUAAACUUAUUUGGUAAAUGGUGUAUUGCUCCUUGAAUAAAUUUCUAUAUAUGAUCAUUACUACUCUGGGUAAUUUACAGAGACAGCAAAAAAUGAGUUUAGACGAAUCAUAAAACAAAGCAUACCAGUUCACUUAGAGUCUUCAAUUGAAACCCCGGUUUGGUAAUGAUGCUUAAUAUCUUUAACAGAAUUUCUCAAUGGUUUAUGUAAAGCAAUGGGGAUGCUUCUGAAUUAACUGGUAAAGCUUCAAUUUUUCUGAUUCUUUGGAGUAGUCAGCAAUAGAAAAUCAAGAUAUUAUUUCUCAACCAGUCACCAUCUCCCAAAAUGAGGAGAAAUUUUCUAGCAUCUAGACCUGUGCUCUUUCAUUUGUCCCCCCACCUCCCACAUCUCUCUUCUCCAUCAUCCCUCAGUUUGUUUCUCAAUAUAUAUUUAAACACACUUCUAAUAAUCUGUAAUUAAAGUUGCUUGAAUUGUUUCAAAACUUUCUCACGAUGUGUACAGCAUAUCGAUGACAAUGCUCCUGUUCAUCGUCCACCCCUGAAUUGAUGAGGCAAUUAUGAGUUAACAAUAUCAGUAUGCCUGAAGUCACUUAUGUCAGACUAAGUAAGAAUAAUGAAUUUGCUUCCCUGGAGCAUUUCAAAACUGUUCCCGGGUCUUGUCUAAAAUUUCAACCCAGAUGCAGACACUUUAACCAAAUGUGUUCAUCACCUACGAGGGUUAAUAUUGAAAUAAUUAAAUCCAGGCAACAACACUUGAUAACUACUGUAUAUAAUAAAGUAAUUCCAUGAUAGCAUAUUUUAUUUAUUAUGCUGAUAGAGGAUAUUAUUUCAGGGAAAGGUUAAAGGUUCAGAUUUUGCUUGGCUGUUUUAGUUUAAAGAACUUAAGACCUUCCAGAAUUGUAUUGUCGUUUGUGAAUGUGAACCUUACUAAUGAGGCCAGCAUUUUCUGAACCAGCUUAACCACUAUUACUGAAUAGGCAGUAGUGAACUGCCAUCUUGAACUGUUUCAGCCUAUGCAAUGAAAACACUUCCGUUUCUGUUAGAUCUGGAAUAACAAGAUUCCAUAAAGAUAAAGAAUAACAAACUGUUUUCAAAUCAGAACAAGAUGUCAAUUGAUGAGAGCUUACAGGCAGUGGAACUCCUACAUACCUACUGUCUGUACUUGAAAGUGUCACAAGUCAUAGUCAUUGGAUGCACUAGUGAAAAAACCAUAGCAAGUGCUUCUUUUAGAGGGUGAACAUCUCAGCCAGCGAGAGGUGACUAAAAUGAGCAGAUGAUUAAAAUGGCAAAUGGGAAGCUGGUCUCUCUUUCAGCUCCUCCCACUUUCUCCAGACUCAAGGGGUAGCCAUGGGCACCAGCUAUGCCUGCCAUCAUGUUGGCUAUGUAGAGCAGUCCAUGUUCCAAGCCUUCCCCGGUAAUGCCCCCCAACUCUUGCUCCUCUGCAUUGAUGACUGCAUUGGUGCCGCUUCAUGCACACAUGCUGAGCUCCUCAAUUUCAUCAACUUUGCCUUUAACUUCCACUCUGUCUUUCAACUCAAUACCAUUUCUGACAUCUCCCUCCCCAUUCUCAAUCUUUCUGGCUCCAUCUCUGGAGGCAAACUGCUGAUUGACAUCUUGUCUAAUCCUACUGAUACCCAUGGUUGUCUUGACUAUACCCCUUUGCAGCCUAUCUCCUGUAAACAUGCUAUUCUGUUUUCUCAGUUCCUUCAGCUCUGUUCCCAGGAUAGGGCUUUCCUUUCUAGGACAUCAGAGAUGUCCUCCUUCUUCAAAGAAUAGGGUUUCCUAUCUUCCACCAUUGAUGCUGCCCUCUCCCGCACCUCCUCCUUUUCCCAAACAUCCACGCUCACCCCAGCCUCUCACUUAACAGAGUUAGAGUUCCUCUUGUACUUACUUGUGACCCCCUGAGCCUCCAUGAGCCUUCGGCUUGUGCCAAGAUGAGGCCACUCUCAAGGCGAGGAGCAACACCUUAUAUUCUAACUGUGUAGCUUGCAACCUGAUGAAAUGAAUAUUUAUUUCUCCUUCCAGUAAAAAAAGUCCCUUCUCCUCCCUUCUUCUUCUAUCAGCACUUUGACCUCUUACCUUCUCUCACCUGCAUAUCACCCUACCCCGCACGGUAUCUCCCCCCUUCCCUUUCUCCUGUUGCUCACUCUCCUCUCCUGUCAGAUUCCUUCCUUUCAUCCCUUUAUCUUUCCAACCCUUCUGGCUUCACCUUUGAGCUAUCCUUCUUUCCCUCCUCCCACCUUUUCAUUCUGGCAUCUCCCCCCUUCCUCUACAGUCCAGAAGAAGGGUAUCAGCCCAUAACACCGACUAUUCAUUCAUCUCUUUAGAUGCCGCCUGACCUCCUGAGUUCCUCCAGCAUUCUACAUGUGUAGCUGGUGAAAAAAAGUUGCUUUGUGAUGAGUUAUUGAGAAGUUUGCAUGCUGCUGGACCUAUCACAGCAAGUGGAAAGUGCUCCACAAUGCGCCGGAAUUGUGCUUUGUUGAUGUUCAAAAGGUUUGGGGAGCCAGUCAUUGCAAAUGCUGAAUAUCUAAUCCCACAGUAUUUUUGUGGGUGGGUCUGUUCCCCCAACCCCUCCCAGACAGUCAAUAUUCAGACAGAUUCACUGACAACAGUGCAGUUGUAUGUCAAAAGAGGGCGAAUAAACGCCCUUUUGAUGGUCACGUGCUGGAAAUAUGUGGUGUGAACAUUACUUUUCUUUUACCAGUCCAUGCCUCAGUGUUAUCAGGUCUUAAAAUGUGUGGCCUGGUAUCUGAUGUACUUCAACAGUACUGAACGCAACCUUGAAGGAAUGAUGAACGCAGUUAUGAUCUCUGGCCGAAGAAGGCUGUUGAUGGACACCAUGGUAAUGUAGCCGUUAGUGCAACACUAUUAACACUUGAGGUGCUUCUGAAUUUGAAGUUCAAUGCCAGUGCAUCUGCAAGGAGUUUGUAUGUUCUCCCCAUGGACCGCGUGGGUUUCCUCUGGAAGCUCCUGUUUCCUCUCACUGUCCAAGGAUGUUCCAGCUAGGUUAAUUGGUCAUUGUAACUUGUCCUGUGAUUAGGCUAGUGUUAAAUAGGUGAGCUGCUGGGCAACACAGCUCAUUGUGCCAGAAGAGCCUGUUCAGGGCCUCUGGUCCCUCUCUCAAGUUAUCUCCUUGCCCCUCCGUUGCCUCCCUCUUGUGCUUCUCUUAAAACUAACAAAGGAUUUCAAUCUUAUAAAAAGUGUCCAAACUACAAAGAAUUUCUAAAACACAAUUUCCAAAACACAGGUACAAUUCUUAUAACUAAAAAGAAUGAGUCAUCUAUCACAGAAAUUGUAGACAAAGGAAUGGAUUCUAGUCACCUUAACUUUCUGUCAUUCUUCUUGUCAACCCUUGCCUAUUCCUAACAAGCGUGACUGCUCUCUGAUAUUUGUACUGCCUUUAUUCGUUACUUAGUGAUAUUUUUUCAGAAACCUUUGCUGGGAAAUUCAUAUGGAUGGUCUAAAACUUCCCGGAAAUGACACCCGAAAUGAAAGCCACAAGAGCUGACUCCCUGAUCAGCUAUUUCAUCUGCUAAGUGAUUGUAUCAGUCUGGUCAGCAAGCUUCCUUGAACUAGAGAAAAUAACAUAGCCAGGUCCAGUUAACACUACCCUGUUAUCUCUUGAGCAGCUAACCCCAUGCUGGGCAGGCAUCCUGUGCUCUAUAGACCAUUCUGUUUGUUUACAAAGAUGCCCUUUUAACUUCAGACUGAUUAUUGCUUGCAGGUUAUACUAAUAACUAAAAACUGACUCUUGUUUGCAGCAGGAAGCUGAACAAGUAUUUGUUGGGAGUUUGACUUACUCAAAAGCAACUCCUUGGUUCCUGGAAGAAUCAGCUGCUGUGUUAGAAAGCUGAGCUUGUCAAAAAGGUCCCCAGGCCCUGGACAGUGAACAUCCAUCACAACUGCAGUCUGUGAUGUGUAGCUUUUUAUUUUGUAAGGUUCACUAAUUCAGUUGAGAGAGCAGUAACUGAUGAACACUGAAUCAAUGCAAGGACCGAACACUUAAAAAUCAUGUAUGUCCCCAAGAGAGAGAAAAAAAACUGGAGCGUUUACAAACACAAAAAGAACACAAGACCGUAAGAUAUAGGAGCAGAAUUAUGCCAUUUGGCCCAUCAAGAUUGCUCCACCAUUCCAUCAUUUAUUAACUCUCACACGCUCAUUCUCCUGCCUUUCCCCAUUACCUUUAAUGCCUUUUACCAAUCAAGAAAAUAUCAACCUUUGCUUUAAAUAUACCCAAUAGCUUGGCCUCCACAGCUGGUGAAUUCCACAGAUUCACCACCCUCUGGCUAAAGAAUUUCCUCUUCAUCUCUGUUCUAAAGAACUUUGCCUUAGACAGUUCCAAGCCUGGCUUGAAAAGAGGAGGUUGGGCAUGGGGCUAGCAACUCCAUCCUGUAAAAAUCCAGAGGUAUGGAAAUGGCAACAGAAGCUCCAAAGACCUCAUCCCUGGAAGAGGAAGUAUUUUCAAAGAUGGGCUAAAGACUGGCUCAGGACAGAGGACUCUGCUGAGCUGCUGUCGGCGGCCCAUGCCCUAGGAGAGGUGAUGGGUUUAAGUUAGAAAAGAAACUCUGAUCUAAAGGAACAUCCAUGAAUCCUAAGGCUGUACACUCUGGUCCUACACUUCCCCACUAUAAGAAACAUCCUCUCCGCAUCCACUCUACCUGAGCCUUUCAAUGUCGGAUAGAUUUCAAUGAGAUGCCUCCCUCAUUCUUCUAAACUCCAGUGACAACAGUCCCUAUAAAAGGUCAUUUAAUUAUUUCCAAAAUAAAUAUUAUAAUAAAGUAUCUGUUUCUUAUUUUAGAAACCACUCAGUUCUUCCAGGAACACAAGGUGAUGCUGAGUACUACUCUCAGGAAGUACUUGGAGCAACUUCAUUGGUUUCUAUUUUCUUCCUCAUUGGCAGGUUUAUUGGUGUUUGCUGACUGAUGACGGUUGACUUAUGUUUUCAUAUGUGUAUCCAGAACUCUCUUUAAUUCAUUCCUGCUUCUCACGGCUUCCCAGUACCGGCUCCACUGAGAUUUACUGCAGCUUAAAUACAAAGUAACACCCCAUCAACUGCAAACAAGACGUGAACAUUUGCCGAUUUUCUGAACAUGACCCUGGUGUGUAUGACCAGCGGGACAAAUGGAUUCGAAAUAAAUGUGCAUUGCAAAUAUCUUAUGUUUUUGUGACGUCCAUUAAUAUAGACUGCGGUUUCAAUAGGGAAAGAACGACGCAAUUCUAUUUUGAUAUUUCGCAUCGUCGUGCGUGUUAAUCAAUAACGUAAAACAAAAAGAUUAUAGUUGAGUAAUUUCUGUGGUAAGAAGUGGUAAAUGUCUAUGUGAUUAUACUAAGUGGCCAGCCUGAUCUCGAGUACAGAAUGUAUCUGUUAAAUGAAGGGAGUGACCGCAAUGUCUUUUAUUCGACUUACAACGAGCUUUUAAAGUUGCAAACCAGAGGUUCUGUAAAUGUACACCAUUUCUCAGUGGAAGGAAAAGAGUGACGUAGCAAAUGUUUCGAGUAAUUUUUAUAAUCCGAUUGCAAGUGGAAGGAAGAUUGGUAUUUAUUUAACGAUUUCAAUCCUUGAAGAAGCAGGAGUUUUAUCGAGUGUUCGUUGCCCGUGUGGCUCCCGUUACUAUAUUUAGUAGCCGGGUGAACUGCGAAUUGACGUUAUCGUCGGCUCAUCCUGUCCCCCCAGCACAGGUAAUUAAUCAUCCACACUGGUGCGAAUCAACUGCCCAGAUCGAGCUUCCAGCAGGUUAAAAGCGUGGCCAGAGGAUGAAGGCCGUUUAUAACAGCGCCGGGUGCGUGGAAAAGUCACGUCUGAAGGCUGACUUCAUCUUUGCAAUACUUUUAAAUCCUCCACACCGCAGGCGGGCAAGCACUAAAUAAAAUGCAACUUCUUCAAGAUUCUGCUGUCUUGGCUGUUGGUUUUAUGCCUUACCCUAUUUUGGCAGGUAAAGGUUCCUUUGAAGACCCUGACCUGGAGUUACACGUGGACUUUGGUUCUUGGUGAAAAUGGGACCCGCUUUUGGGGCCUCACGAAUGCCAAGGAUGCAGCCUGGAAGACUAGUGUGCCUUCAGGAUGCCAGAUUUUCGUGGAUCUGGCAGGGCUGGUGGACUCGAGGUAAUUUGCAGAAAAAUGAAAAUAAGGAGGACACUUCUUUCAAGACACAUAAGUGUGGUUUUUGCUCGCCUUUGAUAAAGAACCCAGCAUUUCUGUGUGCUAUUUAUCUAUGAAUUUGGUCCUAUCCCAGCAUGUGAAGACAGACUCCGGUGGAUUUAGCAGACGAGAUCAAUGGAAGGUCCAACGGUACAACUCUACUGGCUGUCAAUGGAGUAGCAGUGUUUUUAUAGCUGCUCCUACUCUACUUAAUUUACUGUUUCCAACUUGUUUUGAAAACUUACUUUUAAACGCAAUAUUGUUUUACGAUGAGGGGCUCCAAAGCUACUAAAAAAGAAGAGAACCCUCCUAUAACUUUGGAAUCUGUUAUAGAGGCACUUCAGAAGCAUAAAAAUGAACUUUCAGAGCAGUUCCAGCAAAAAUUCUGGCAACUCAGCUCUGAAUUUAAACAAACGGAUGUAAAAUUGGAUUCUAUUCAAAAAAACUUUAAGUGAACAUGAUAAAUGGAUAAAAGAGAAUGAAGACACUUUGAUGAUGUUGUAAACAUUCAAAGAUUAAUGAAAAAUUAAGACAGAAGAUUAUCGACUUAGAAAAUAGAAGCAGAAGAAAUAAUUUAUGAAUUCUGGGUUUUAAAUGGAAGGCAAUCAGCCUUCAGAAUUUUUCGCAAAACUUUUGGCUAACUUAUUUCUAAAUAUUUAAAAAUCUCCACCUAAAAUAGACCGAGCUUAUAGAUCUCUAGUACCGAGACCUCCUCCAGAAGAACAACCCUGUUCAGUGAUAAUCAGUCUUCACGAUUUUCAAACAAAGGAACUUUUAAUUCGUGAACCUCGUUGGAAAGGUAUAAUUGAUUAUGAAGACCAGAAGAUCAGAAUUGUGGAGGAUUUUUCACCUGAGGUGUUGAAUCAACGCUUCAAGUUUAAAAAGAUGGUGUCUGAAUUGUAUAAUACAGGUUUUAAACCUUCUCUUCAUUACCCCACUCGUCUUAGAAUCAUUUUGAAAAAUGGCUCUCAGAAAUGGUUCUGUUCGACUCAAGAGGUGCAGGAUUAUUUAAUUUCCGAAUCAGUACCAGGUUUAACUGUUCAAUAAUUCCCUACAUAAAUCUACGUUGCAUGUGCCCGAGGAAUCCUUUUUUUAGAAUCAGCAGUCUAACUGUUCAUUACUUUUUUUUAUGAAUAAUUGUUUUUUUUUACAUUUGGUAUACCUUCUUAUAUAAUUUUUCUUUGUACUUUUAUUUCUUUGCUUAGAAAAUUAAGGAUUUAACAUUAGUAAGUUUUCAUUGAGUUAAUACUUUUCAAGUCAAUAUGUUCUGAAUUUUCUUCAUUCUUUUUAAUAUUUCAUACUAUAUUUUCUCCUGUGGUUUUAUUAAUAACUUUAAUUUUGCUCUGUUUUAUGUUGUGUCUUGUUGGAAGCAGGUAGCCUUGAAAAAAUUUUUGGAGCUCAGCUAGUAGUUUGUUUUGGGAGGGUAACGUGGGUAGAUUUAACUGUCGACUGCCCUUUGGUUGACUUUCUCUCUUUGGGUGGAGGGUGGAUUUCUUCUUUUCUAUCAGCUGUUUGGUUCUCUUAGCUUCAUUUGUUGCUUGGUUACUUUAUCUUAAAGCUCAUUGUUUGGAUUUAAUAUAUAUUCCAGUGGUUUUUAUUCUAACCUCUUUUUUCUGUAAUAUUUUAAAUGGAUCAUGCUAUUAAUUUACUUAGUUUUAAUGUGAAAGGAUUAAACCAUCCUGUGAAACGUAGUGAGAUAUUUAAUUAUUUUAAUAAAGUGAAUGACUCAAUUUUUUUUUACAAAAAACACGUUCGUAAAUGUGAUAAUUUAUGUCUUUUCAGCUGUUGGAAGGGCUUAUUUUUUCUUUCCUCCUUUCAGGCUAAGGCCAGAGGAGUUUCGAUUCUUAUAGACAAUUCAGUUUCUUUUGUUCAACAUAAUGUAGUAUCUGACACCAAUGGGCAUUUUGUCACAGUCUCAGGGAUAUUGGAUAAUAAAUUAAUGGUUUUUACUCAUUUGUAUGCCCCGAAUAUGAUCCAGGUUUUUUUGAACGCGUUUUUUCACUUUUACCAGAUAUAAGUCUGUAUUCUCUGGUGUUAGGAGGAGAUCUCAACUGUUGUUUAGAUACUGUUUUAGAUUGCUCAUCUUUUAAAUGAUUGAUUUUUAGUAGGUCUGCCUUCUUUUCUGAUGAAAUGUGAUAUUGCUGAUAUUUGGCGCUUUUUGCAUCCAACAGAUAAAGACUACUCAUUUUUUUUUCUCAUGUUCAUCAUACGUAAUCCAGGAUUGAUUUUUUUUUGUUGAUAGCCAAUUGAUUCCAUUGGUUCAAUCCUGUGAAUAUAAAGAAAUUGCUGUUUCAGAUCAUGCUGUGUUUUUAUCUUUCAA